rnacentral:rRNA from 1 species
UACGGAAGGGGCAAGCGUUGUUCGGAAUCAUUGGGCGUAAAGGGUGCGUAGGCGGCGCGGUAAGUCGGGUGUGAAAUCUCGGAGCUUAACUCCGAAACUGCAUUCGAUACUGCCGUGCUGGAGGACUGGAGAGGAGACUGGAAUUUACGGUGUAGCGGUGAAAUGCGUAGAUAUCGUAAGGAAGACCAGUGGCGAAGGCGGGUCUCUGGACAGUUCCUGACGCUGAGGCACGAAGGCCAGGGGAGCAAACGGG